GAUGAACGCUGGCGGCGUGCCUAAUACAUGCAAGUCGAGCGAACGGACGAGAAGCUUGCUUCUCUGAUGUUAGCGGCGGACGGGUGAGUAACACGUGGAUAACCUACCUAUAAGACUGGGAUAACUUCGGGAAACCGGAGCUAAUACCGGAUGAUAUUUUGAACCGCAUGGUUCCAAAGUGAAAGACGGUCUUGCUGUCACUUAUAGAUGGAUCCGCGCUGCAUUAGCUAGUUGGUAAGGUAACGGCUUACCAAGGCAACGAUGCAUAGCCGACCUGAGAGGGUGAUUGGCCACAUUGGAACUGAGGAACGGGCCCGACUCCUACGGGAGGCAGCAGUAGGGAAUCUUCCGCAAUGGGCGAAAGCCUGACGGAGCAACGCCGCGUGAGUGAUGAAGGUCUUCGGAUCGUAAAACUCUGUUAUUAGGGAAGAACAUAUGUGUAAGUAACUGUGCACAUCUUGACGGUACCUAAUCAGAAAGCCACGGCUAACUACGUG
rnacentral:rRNA from 1 species